ACAAAAAAAAAAUAAGAAAAAAAAAGAGAGAAAAGAAUUGGAUAUCCGUUGUGAAGAAAGUCGGCAUAUACUAUUCUCAUAGGAGAAUCUGCCUCAAUGCCAGCCUUGGCUCUAGCUAUUAGCCUUUAAACCUGAGUUUCUUGGCCAUUGAAGAGUAUCAAAUCUGCAUCUAAAUCACUUCUUGAGAAAAAAAUACAGGAGGUUGAAGGAAGGAGAAUGGCGGCUAAGCUUCCAGUUAAAAAAGGGUGAGUCUUAAUCUGCUCAUUUAGGCACCAAAUACAGCAUAUCUAACCAUUUUUGAAGGGUUCCCAAAUUAUAAUUCAAGGCUGGAAAUUUAUUAUAUAGGUAAGAAGUUCUUUCAUGUGGGCAUUGGAUCCAAGUUCAAAGGGUUAAUGACAUUUGAAAUUCUUUAUGGCAAAUUUGAUAUUGAGGGUUGAAAGAUGCUGGAAGUUUAGUUUUGAAGGGCUAAAUCAACUACGGGACUGUUGAAAUGGCACUUUGAUAGCUGCAAAAAUUCCACAAAAUUUGAGGCAUUGAACCCAUGGAAGCUAGGAUAAUGAUGCUAGUUUGAAAAAUGCUAAACUCUGUGGCAGAGUUGAAACAAAAUUAAGGUAAGACUUAAAGGAUAAGUAUUGGAGAGAAAUCCCAACAACUGAGAUAAACAGAUAGUUGGGGACAUCAUUGGCGAGGAAUCCCUUGCAACCGUGUAGGUAAUGGCAUCUCCUAGCUCUCUUCGCGUUGCUCCACUGUCUAGUCAUUGAGUCAUUUUAAAAUUGUAAUGAAUGAUGUGUUUAGGAUUAUUUUAAGACUAAGAUCUUUAAAUAUUAUGAAUUUAAUGGUGUGGAGUUAUGUUAUCGAAACACGUGAACUAUUAUUGAGACAUUAUUAUUU